CGGCCCGGUAAGUCGUCCCUGAAAUCCACGGGCUCAACCCGUGGGCUGGGGACGAUACUGCCGGGCUUGGGGGCGGGAGAGGCCGAGGGUACUCCCGGGGUAGGGGCGAAAUCCGAUAAUCCCGGGAGGACCACCAGUGGCGAAGGCGCUCGGCUGGAACGCGCCCGACGGUGAGGGGCGAAAGCUGAGGGAGCAAAGGGGAUUAGAUACCCGGGUAGUCCCAGCCGUAAACGAUGCGAGCUAGGUGACAGAAUGGCCUAAGAGCCAUUCUGCUGCCGCAGGGAAGCCGUUAAGCUCGCCGCCUGGGGA
rnacentral:rRNA from 1 species